rnacentral:rRNA from 1 species
UGGUAAAGCUCCGGCGUUUCGAGAUGGGUCUAUGUCCUAUCAGCUUGUUGGUGAGGUAAAAGCCCACCAAGGCUAAGACGGGUAGCUGGCGUGAGAGCGCGGCCAGCCACAAUGGAACUGCGACACGGUCCAUACUCCUACGGGAGGCAGCAAUUAGGAAUCUUGCGCAAUGGGGGCAACCCUGACGCAGCGACAUCGCGUGGAGGAAGAAGGUCUUCGGAUUGUAAACUCCUUUUAUGUGGGAAGAAUGAAUGACGGUACCACAAGAAUAAGCACCUGCUAACUACGUGCCAGAAGCAUCGGUGAUGCGUAGGGUGCGAACAUUAUCCGGAGUGAUUGGGUGUAAAGAGAUGCGUAGGCAUUUUGAUAAGUCCAAUGUCAAAGCCCUCUGCUUAACGGAGGAAAGGCAAUGGAUACUAUCAGAAUAGAGUCAGAAAGGGGUGAGCGGAAUUUCCGGUGGAGCAGUGAAAUGCGUUGAUAUCGGGAGGAACACCAGAGGCGAAGGCGGCUCACUGGUUCUGUACUGACGCUAAGGCUCGAAAGCGUGGGGAGCAAAACGGAUUAGAUACCCGUGUAGUCCACGCUGUAAACUAUGUCCGCUAGGUGU